rnacentral:rRNA from 1 species
CCUACGGGUGGCUGCAGUGAGGAAUAUUGGUCAAUGGGCGCGAGCCUGAACCAGCCAAGUAGCGUGAAGGAUGACUGCCCUACGGGUUGUAAACUUCUUUUGUAAAGGAAUAAAGUGAGGCACGUGUGCCUGUUUGUAUGUACUUUAUGAAUAAGGAUCGGCUAACUCCGUGCCAGCAGCCGCGGUAAUACGGAGGAUCCGAGCGUUAUCCGGAUUUAUUGGGUUUAAAGGGAGCGGAGGGGGGUUGUUAAGUUAGUUGUGAAAGUUCGGGGCUCAACCCUAGAAGUGCCAUUGAUACUGGCGGUCUUGAGUGCAGUUGAGGUAGGCGGAAUGCGUGGUGUAGCGGUGAAAUGCUUAGAGAUCACGCAGAACCCCGAUUGCGAAGGCAGCUUACCAACCUCACACUGACGUUGAGGCACGAAAGUGUGGGUAUCAAACAGGAUUAGAUACCCGAGUAGUC